UUAUCACUCUAAAAAAAACGUGUAAAGUGUUGAACAUAUCUGCUGCACUGUUUGUAACAAAAGGGAAGGCCAAGGGAGGUCAAAGGUCAAUUAAA